UUGACCUCGAAUCAGGUAGGACUACCCGCUGAACUUAAGCAUAUCAAUAAGCGGAGGAAAAGA
rnacentral:rRNA from 1 species